rnacentral:rRNA from 1 species
AUUGAACGCUGGCGGCAUGCCUUACACAUGCAAGUCGAACGGUAACGGGCCUUCGGGUGCCGACGAGUGGCGAACGGGUGAGUAAUACAUCGGAACGUGCCCGAUCGUGGGGGAUAACGAGGCGAAAGCUUUGCUAAUACCGCAUACGAUCUACGGAUGAAAGCAGGGGACCGCAAGGCCUUGCGCGGACGGAGCGGCCGAUGGCAGAUUAGGGAGUUGGGGGGAUAAAAGCUUACCAAGCCGACGAUCUGUAGCUGGUCUGAGAGGAUGAUCAGCCACACUGGGACUGAGACACGGCCCAGACUCCUACGGGAGGCAGCAGUGGGGAAUUUUGGACAAUGGGCGCAAGCCUGAUCCAGCCAUGCCGCGUGCAGGAUGAAGGCCUUCGGGUUGUAAACUGCUUUUGUACGGAACGAAAAGCCUUCUUUUAAUACAGGAGGGUCAUGACGGUACCGUAAGAAUAAGCACCGGCUAACUACGUG